CAGAAUUCUAUCCAACCACCAGCCGGUGACAUUGCCAGAAUUAAAACUGCAUUGGGCCAUUCACAGGAACCUCCUUAUUUAUGGACCACCGGUGGGAGGCGCUGUAUUUAAUUGUUGGAGUCAAUGAUCUCGAGGUCCAACCGUGACAACAUCUAGAUACCUGCAGCAGCCGUCCUACUGACUUAAACAUUAAUAGCCGACAAAUUGAACUGUGUCAUCUUGGAAGCGUGUGUCAACAGAAUUCUAUCCAACCACCAGCCGGUGACAUUGCCUGAAUUAAAACUGCAUUGGGCCAUUCACAGGAACCUCCUUAUUUAUGGACCACCGGUGGGAGGCGCUGUAUUUAAUUGUUGGAGUCAAUGAUCUCGAGGUCCAACCGUGACAACAUCUAGAUACCUGCAGCAGCCGUCCUACUGACUUAAACAUUAAUAGCCGACAAAUUGAACUGUGUCAUCUUGGAAGCGUGUGUCAACAGAAUUCUAUCCAACCACCAGCCGGUGACAUUGCCUGAAUUAAAACUGCAUUGGGCCAUUCACAGGAACCUCCUUAUUUAUGGCCAAGGAGUUAGCUAUCUUGGAGCAGUCCUGACUCAGAGAGAGCCACCUAUGGCUCCUUUCAGCAGCCACUUUUCUUGCCUCUAUGGACUGCGUACCUUUGAGGAAGCAGCACCCCUCCCGGCCAGGAACACGGCUUCUUGGCCAUGCCUAACCUUUGGGAAGCUGCAACUGUGCAGAGGGGACUGAUGUUGCCAGCCCCAUGUGCAGCGUAUGAGACACUGCCAAACCCGAGUCUGUGUAAGACCUCCAGGCACUACCCCAGUCUUUACCAUUACUGCCAGUGCAGACUCUUCUAUUGUAAUGGAUACUUAGUGAUACCACAACCAAAUAGUUAAAAAAGAAGGCUGAGAAACAGUAUGUGAAUGAGUACGCAAGAAAGUGGGCCCAACAGACAUAUUCUUGCCAUAAGGGUGGUCAACUGAGGACCACCCCAACGCAUACACAUCAUUAAGGCAGAGGAUACUGUGCAAAGACAGAAAGACAGCUUCAAGGACAUUUGAGGAGUCACAGUCCUCAGAAGGUAGCCAAAAGACCAGCAAAGAAGCAAAAAUAGACAGAUGGAGAACAACUCCUGAUCAAGGCAGUGUUUAAACAAUCAAAAGUGUUUUGAUAGUGAAAGUGACAGAGUGACAGCCCCCCCCCCCCCUGAUAUUGAUGUUUUAUUGAACUAUUUCCUAAUACUGAUAUUAAAUACUAUGCUUGAUAUUUAAUUUGAAUCAAACUGAAUUUUUAUUUCUGUAAUGAUGUACUUUGUAUUGGCUUGUAAUCUAUUUUUGCUAUUUUUGCAACACUUAAAGUUUAAAUUGGACACAUUUAAACAGUCUGUCCGAUAUUUUAUUCGUUUUAAUUAAUUCUAUUUUUAUUUAAUUUUAUCAUCAUUAUUUCAGUAAUUUUACCAGUGAGUAACUUUUGUAAAUGAACUAUUUUUUCUUAAAGUAACAUUUGUUCACAUAUCUUUUUUUAUCUUUGGCUAACUAUUUUUCAAAUUUAACUAUCAAAAUAUUCUUUAAAAUCCUACCGUUCUUUGUUGUUUGUACUUCAGUACAUAUCUUUUGCAAAGAAUGAAGGUCCAAAGUCCUUGUAAAAAAAGCUGAUGAGAAGAAGUUUUUUUUUUAAAUCAUAUAUCCAUCUUUCAUAUUUUUGGAUACUUAAUACUAUCAACUAUAGUGUAAAAUGACAGUGGUUGUGUUAGUCAGAUAUUCUUGUGGUUGUUUUGAUAGUGUUUGAUGGUUUGCUUGGACAGUUAUGCCCAAUGAUUAGGUGAGGGCACUAACCCUUAUCUUAACCCUUUCCCUUCUUACUGCCUUGUCAGUGUGUCUGACAGUUGGUUCUGUUAGUCAGUCAUUGUAAUGCUUUACUGGUGAAUUUGUCAGUGUUUAACAUUUUUGGAAUGAAAAUGGUUACUUUCUGUCUAUUUUCAUUUAAAGUAAAGGUUUCGGCAUAUUGCUCUUAAUCAAGCCAUCGUAGUCUUAAGAAAGACACUUACCAUGUGGUAUGAGUUCUGGGUUCAAAUCCCAGCGGUGGCUAUAAGAAUUGCAGUUUGGGGCUCAAAUACAGAUUCCUUCAUAAAGCCAGAAAAGUUUCCAAAUUGCAUUAAAAUACAUAUAUUUUAAUUUCCAGUUCGGCUGUGACAAUUUUACGGUAUUUUGACAUUACGGUUAUUCUUCCAUCAAUGAUGGUCUCAUUUCAAACAGCAACUCGAUCUGAGUGAAAUAAUGGACAGGUUUUACUAAAAUAAUCAUUAAAAAAAGAAAGACCAUUGAUGCUGCGCCAUGUAUUUGUUUGUAAUUGUUAACAGAUUAGUUUGAAAAUGAAUGACAAACGAAAUACAGCGAGACCUUUUGUUAUAGGGUAAUUGUCCGUCGUUAACAUUUUUCAUCAAACAACUUCUCCUAAACCACUGGGACCAUUUCAACCAAACUUCACAGGAAUGUUUCUUGGGUGGUCCUCUUCCAGAUUCCUUCAAUAAAAAUGGUUCCAUACAGAACUUAGGAAAAACUUCUCAGAUUUCCAAAUAAUUUCACAGAAAUGAUCCUUUUGACCCUGUAUCAAAUUCCUUCAUCCCGUGCUCAUUUGUAAAAAAAACAUGGCCACCAGGGUACGGGGCUUCUUUUCUCUAAGUCUAAACGGAAAACUUUUAUACACCUGUUUAAAUAACGGGACGUAUUAUAGUUUUAUCUGCUGCGUGUGGUUGUGUGGGCAGGGUCCAGUAUGCUGUAUGAUCAAUAACUUGGGAACCCUUUGUCUAAUCAGCUGUCAGAGCGAUAUAGGGCCUUCUUUGCCCUCUUUUUUCCUAACCUUUAAUGUUUAGUACACUUGUGGAACUUCCUCUCGACUUAAUACUUCACACUAUUAUUAAAAACCAUCUUACAAUUAGGUUAAAUAACUCCAUAUUAACCUUAAAUACAAAUUAUGGCCCUUGAUUUACUUUUUUUUUCGCUUUUUUAUUGCUUUUGAGAGGCACAUUUAUUUUUUAUCCCCCGCUGAAUCGAAGAUUUCAGGAGGGGGUUAUUGUUUUGGGGUUGCCUGUCCGUCCUUUAUUCCGUCCGUCUGUCUGUCCUGUACCAUAUCUUGGUAGGCAUUGAUCAGAAAAUGUUCAAACUUCGUCAGAAUGUUCCCCUUGAUCAAAUCUCGACCACUUGCAAAAGUGGGUCACAUGGGGUAAAAAAAAAAGGUCACUAGGUCAAAUCUUACAAAAAUCUUUGGAACAUACUAGAGGCAUUAUACAUGGUCAAAUUUUCAUGAAACUUAAUCAGAAUUUUUCCUAAUGAACUCUUGGUUGUAAAUAAAUUAGGUUUACAUAUGAUUAAAAAUUAGUUCACAAGGUCAAAUCUUAAAAAAAUCUUAUCCAGGACCAUAUCAAGGUAAUGAUUGGUCAAGUUAUGUUCAAAAUAGGUCAUGAUGUAUCCCUUGAUAAAAUAUGAACCGCUUGAAAAAGUGGGUCACAUGGGGUCAGAAACUAGGUCACUUGGUCAAAUCUUAGAAAUAUCUUAGAGGCAUUAUGUAUGGUCUAAUAUUCAUGAAAUUUGAUCAGAAUGUUUUCCUUGAUGAACCCUUGGACAUGUUUUAAACUUGGUCACACGUGAUAAAAAAGAAUUAGGUCGCUAGGUCAAAUCUUUCAAAAAUCUUGUCCAAAACUGUUUUAUGGUGAUGAUUGGUCAGAUUAUGUUCAAACAUGAUCAGAAUGUUCUUUUGUGUUAAAUUUCUACUACGUUUCAAAAGUGGGUCAAAAACAUGGUCAAAUUUUGGAAACAAUAUUGGGAACACACUAUUGGCAGUCUUAUAUUCAUGAAACUUAAUCAGACGGUUUUCCUUGAUUGUUGUUGAAAAGUUCAAAACUAGAUCACAUGGGGUCAGAAACCAUGUCAGUAGAUGAAAUCUUUGAAAAAUUGUGUCCCAAACCAAACAUUGGUAUUAAAUAUUCAAAUUUGGUCAGAAUGUUUUCCUUAAUGAAAUCUUACAAGAGUUUUUAAAUUGGUCACAUGGGGUCAAAUUAUAUUUUUUGCAAUAUAUCUGGACCAAUCUUCAUGAAACUUAAUCAGAAUGUUUGCCUUGAUGAAAUCUUAGAUUAGUUUGGAACUGGGUAACAUUGAGUCAUAAACUAGGUUUCUUAGACAAUUCUAGAUGCUUCAUUAUAUACAAUAUUUUUUUUAUUUCAAACAGUUGCAAUCAAACUCAUAUAUAUAUUUCACCAACAAUUGAUUUCCAUUCCUUGACUUAGCCUAAUCAGGCCGGAGAUAUCAAUUCAACGAAUUUGCUUCGAGUUUAUGGAGACCUUUCAUGGGAUUGCUUUUGGGGCCCCUACGAUCAAGGUCAAGGACACUGUUACCAUAAACAAAACAAUGGUUGGUACUGAAUAACUUCAGUUAGGGUUGACAUAUUGUGACCAAAUUGGUAUGUAGGAAGAGUUUAUGGAGGACUUCCAUGGCAUAGGUUUGGGGCCCGUAGGGUCAAGGUCAAUGUUACUUAACAGUUGAAACUAAAUCACAACAAAGGCUGAAGUUCUUCCGUCAAUCAUUGAAAACCUGGUUUUGUAGCAUUGCGGCGUUUCUUGUUUACUAUUUUAUUUGCUUUCUUUUUUAAUUGCUUUUGACGGGCACAUAUUACAUUAUUAUUGUAUUCAUUUCUAAUUCAAAGCAGAGUAUAGUCGAUCACGUUCUCCUAUGACAUCUCAUUUCUUAUUUUAGUCACUAUUACACAAUUAUUCUGCUGUAAAUAAUAAAAAUAAAUUAUUAAGAUUUAUUUUGUUGAGAAAGUAUUUUAUCUUGUUUUUCAUAAACUUAUCCAUUUGUCUUUCUUGCCAGCUUGUCUGUUUUUGAAGAUAGAAUCUGAGCUAAAAGUCUUAACAUAAAAGAGUUUAAUUUUUUUUUAGACUUUCUCAUAAAUUCCUUAAGACAUUCUCAUUAACUUGAGUAUACCUGUUAUUUGCUAAAAUACUAAUGUUAUAUGUGGCAAGGCCUGUACCUUUUAUAACUCAUAUAAAAGUAUGCACUGUAGAAAACAGACUAUGGCUCUGAUGCUCUUGUUUUAAAUGUUCAUUUAAGGUUUGAUAUUACCAUUGUGUUAUUUAUGUGAUGUCUUUCAUAUGAUAUAGGCAAAUUUUAUAGGUUUCAUCUGCUUACAUUUGGUAUUAAUUUUUUUUUUUGAUGCUUGGGUAUUGGUGUGUUUUUUAGCUAAUGUCGUCCGUCGUUCGGCAUCAACAAUUGGUUAUAAUCAUCUUCUUCUCCUAAACCGCUUGGACAAAUUUGAUGAAACUUUAUAGGGAUGAUCCUUGGUUGGUGCUUUUUCAAAAUUGUUCAAAAUUGUUUAAAGAAAUGAAUUCCAUACAGAACUUUGGUUGCCAUGGCGACCUAAAGGAAAAUGUCAACAAUUGGUAAUAAUCAUCUUCUUGUCCUAAACCACUUUGACAAUUUUGAUGAAACUUCAUAGGGUUGAUCCUUGGUUAGUGCUUUUUCAAAACUGUUCAAAGAAAUGAAUUCCAUGCAUGACUCUGGUUUCCAUGGCAACCAUAAGGAAAUGUCAACAAUUGGUAAUAAUUAUCUUUUUCUCCUAAACCUCUUGGACAAUUUUAAUGAAACUUCAUAGGAAUGAUCCUUGAUUGCUGCUUUUUCAAAAUUGUUCAAAGAAAUGAAUUCCAUGCAGAACUCUGGUUGCCAUGGCAACCUAAAGGAAAAGCGUCAACAAUUGGUUAUAAUCAUCAUCUUCUCAUUAACCCCUUGGACAAUUUUAAUGAAACUUUAUAGGAAUGAUCCUUGGUUGGUGCUUUUUCAAAUUGUUCAAAGAUAUGAAUUCCAUGCAAUGGCAACCUAAAGGAAAAAUAACAAAACUUUUUUUUGGCAAAUACUAUGAUCCUAGUGCUUAAAUAUUUAGUGUGUG